rnacentral:rRNA from 1 species
CCAGACUCCUACGGGAGGCAGCAGUGGGGAAUAUUGCACAAUGGGGGAAACCCUGAUGCAGCGACGCCGCGUGAGUGAAGAAGUAUUUCGGUAUGUAAAGCUCUAUCAGCAGGGAAGAUAAUGACGGUACCUGACUAAGAAGCCCCGGCUAACUACGUGCCAGCAGCCGCGGUAAUACGUAGGGGGCAAGCGUUAUCCGGAUUUACUGGGUGUAAAGGGUGCGUAGGUGGCAUGGCAAGUCAGAAGUGAAAGCCCGGGGCUCAACCCCGCGGACUGCUUUUGAAACUGUCAGGCUGGAGUACAGGAGAGGUAAGCGGAAUUCCUAGUGUAGCGGUGAAAUGCGUAGAUAUUAGGAGGAACACCAGUGGCGAAGGCGGCCUGCUGGACAGCGACUGACGUUGAGGCUCGAAAGCGUGGGGAGCAAACAGGAUUAGAUACCCUAGUA